rnacentral:rRNA from 1 species
UUCCGGUUGAUCCCGCCGGACCCCACUGCUAUCGAGGUGGGACUAAGCAAUGCUAGUCGAACGACCCGAACUAUGUCGGGGAGUGGCACACGGCUCAGUAACACGUAGCUAACCUAACCUAAGGACGGAGAAAACCUCGGGAAACUGAGGUUAAUAACCGAUAGGUAUGAUGUCCUGGAAUGGUAUCAUGCCCAAAGGUGUUCACAGCAUGUUGUUAACAUGCCUUAGGAUGGGGCUGCGGCUGAUCAGGCUGUUGGUGAGGUAAUGGCUCACCAAACCUUUGACCAGUACGGGCCAUGAGAGUGGUAGCCCGGAGAUGGACACUGAGACAAGGGUCCAGGUUCUACGGAACGCAGCAUGCGCGAAACCUCCUCAAUGCACUCAAGUGCGAAGGGGUUACCUCGAGUGCGACCUGAUGAAGGUCGCUUUUACGAAGUAUAACAAGCUUCGAGAAUAAGAGGGGGGCAAGACUGGUGUCAGCCGCCGCGGUAACACCAGCCCCUCGAGUGGUGGGGAUGAUUAUUUGGCCUAAAGCGUCCGUAGCCUGCCGUAUAAGUCUCCCGUUGAAUCCAGCGUCUCAAGCGUUGGACUGCGGGAGAUACUGCACGGCUAGAGGGUGGGAGAGGUAUGCGGUAUUCUGGGGGUAGGGGCGAAAUCCAUUGAUCCCCGGAGGACCACCAGUGGCGAAGGCUGCAUACUAGAACACGCCUGACGGUCAGGGACGAAAGCUGGGGUAGCGAACCGGAUUAGAUACCCGGGUAGUCCCAGCCGUAAACGAUGCACGCUAGGUGUUGGGUCGGCCACGAGCCGCCCCAGUGCCGCAGGGAAGCCGAUAAGCGUGCCGCCUGGGGAGUACGGCCGCAAGGCUGAACUUAAAGGAAUUGGCGGGGAGCACCACCAGGCGUGAAGCCUGCGAUUAAUUGGAGUCAACGCCGGAA